CCUACGGGUGGCAGCAGUGAGGAAUAUUGGUCAAUGGCCGGAAGGCUGAACCAGCCAAGCCGCGUGAAGGACGAAGGUGCCAAGCAUUGUAAACUUCUUUUGUCAAGGGACAAAAUCAGGCUCGAGAGCCUGACCGAGGGUACUUGAAGAAAAAGCAUCGGCUAACUCCGUGCCAGCAGCCGCGGUAAUACGGAGGAUGCGAGCGUUAUCCGGAUUUAUUGGGUUUAAAGGGUGCGUAGGCGGACUGUUAAGUCAGCGGUAAAAGCCCUGGGCUCAACCCCGGCGAGCCGUUGAAACUGGCGGUCUUGAGAUGUCGAGAGGUAUGCGGAAUGCGUGGUGUAGCGGUGAAAUGCUGAGAGAUUGCGCAGAACCCCGAUUGCGAAGGCAGCAUACCGGCGGCGAUCUGACGCUGAGGCACGAAAGCGUGGGUAUCGAACAGGAUUAGAUACCCUGGUAGUC
rnacentral:rRNA from 1 species